UUCAUUUAUUUUUAUCACAUAGUUCCGGAUCGAACACUCCAAGAACUUUUCGCGUCCUCUCCUUCUCUCUCAUUCUCCUUCCUAAAUCUCCAUUUCUGGAACUCCCAACUCCCCCAUCUCACCUUCAAAAAUUCAGAAUCAACCUUAUCCCUUCGAAGUCUUCUCUCACCAAGCCGCCCCUUUCUAUUUAAUCUGAAAAUUCGAGCUCUGCGAAAAUGGGAAGUGAAAAACCCUAGGUUUUGGCGCGGGGAUAAAGGUGACAUCCUGAAGCAGAAAGGCUGGUUUGGAUAUUCCGGCGGGUCACGUUGCUUAGAUUUUGAAAGUUGUGAAACACACCGUACUACUGGAUCACGAAUUGUUGGUGUUGGAGCCCUAGUUUAACUAGCCGUCGUCCUUGGCUACCUUGAUGCUCAAUUGCGAUUGCUGGUGUUGGCUCUCCUCCUCCAGUUGCUCUUUAUGUGGGAGUUUCUGAAGGUCAAUAACUUGGUCGCCUCCCUUGGGAGGGUUGUGAAUCUCUACUGUCAUGGAGACUUUACCAGGUGACGAAUCUUCUGUAUUGGGCACCGCGACUUCUUCAUAAACAUUCUGAAGGUUGAUCAUCGCAGCAGCAGCAGCAACAUGUUCAACUUGUUCUGGCAAUCCAUUAUGUUCAUUUGGCCUUAGAUAUGUGACAAAAGGACAACGAGUGGUGGUGGUGUUCCCACUGCUUUAGAGGUAACAGUGUGUGAGCCGCCAGAUCCUCAUCAUCAUCAUCAUCAUCAUCAGGCCGGGGUCAACGAGUGGGCGAUGCUUGACCGUGUUAUAGGACACCAGCAGGAUGACCAUCUUGAUGACCUUAAUUAAUCUUUCAUUACUUUAAAUCCUUAAUUUUUUUGCUUCAUUCAAUGAUAUUUCAUUUUGGUGUUAAUUUUGGUGAAUUUUGAUUGAUAGGUCGAUUGUAUGCGAUGGAACUAGGGCAGCAGAUUCAUCUAAUAGGUACCUAAUUUUCUCAAUCUUCACAUUUAAUUAUUCUUCGCAAUUUUGCAAUUUGAGUUUUUUCAUAUAGUAAUUGCAAAAAUGAUUGAGAUUGUUGUUAUUCAAUUUGCUUGAUCAUUUUUUCUGGAGUUGAUGAUAAUUAGAUCAUGACUGUAGGAAUUAUUAGAUUACACACCAAUUGACAUGGAAGUUUUAGACAGAGAAAGGAAAGUUCGCGGUACUUGACAAUUCUGCUUCAUAUAACUAAAUGUAUUCUGUGAGGUAAAUCUGAGCUUUCAACCUAAUCAAAAGUCACUAAAUUUAUUCGAGUUAGGCGAACUUUUUACUAGAUGUCACUAUUGGCCUACAAUAUAUGAAUGUAAUUUGUGAUUGUUGAUUAUAUACAAGAAUAAUGCUAUAAACUAGUGGUCAGGAUAUUAGUAGCAAGUCAAGCAACUUGAUAUUGCCUUUUGUUUAGCCACUCAAUCUAACCCAAAACUGAUACUGUAUAUCCUAAAUCUAUCAUUCGAUUUAAGAUAUUCAGAUUCUGUAGUCUUUUGACAUAUAAAUGGACAUCAGAACUGUGCUGUCUUCUGCUCAAACACUGUUUGCAGCAUUGCAAAGUUCGGAGCUCAAAAAGACGUGCUCGAUCCUUGGCUACAAAUCUCAACUUGAUGACCUACAAGUGACAGUCUCCACCAUCAGUAUUGUGCUCCGCAGUGCAGAGGCCAAGCAGGCUAGCAUAAAAGAAGGUUCCAAAUUCAUCACCAACUACAACAUCAGCAAGUUCUGAUAUUUACGGUGCUGCAGUUCUAGAUGCUUGUGAGCAAAUAAAAGCAAGGAUGGAUCCGAUUGCUUCAAAACGAUAGUAACUUUGCCUUUUUUUUCUUUAAAAAAAAUAUUGGAGAUGAUGACCACUUUUAUUCGUUUCAGCUGGCAUAAGCAUGCUAUCUGGAGAGAAUAGACCUAUCUGCUCAUGGUUUUCAUGCUACUCCGGAAAUAGGCUUUGAUUGGAAAACUUGUAAGGGGAAACCUUUCAGUUAUUUCACUUAUGGUUCAGCAAGGUCAUUUUUUAUUACCUCAUUUUGCAGAUUUCUUUCUUCUAAUUAAGCUUUUCGAACUUCACCGAUAAAAUCUGUUUUCCGCUCAUUGCAGCUAGCUAUGUCAUAGCUUACCACUGCUCUUUAUCCUGGAGCAAUUUUCAGUUUCAAACUUUCAACUGCUCUUUAUCCUCAAGCAAUUUUCAGUAUUUUUAUGUUAAAUUAGUUAAAAUUUAUCUGGAAGUGUUAUACUUGAAUAUUAAUUGUAAGGCCUCAAAGUUGGUGUUGACAACUUUUGGUUCUCGUAUAUUUAUAUCAUUUGAUUUUAAUUUUUGUAAAUUGUUUUUGUUGUUGACUUAUUAUUGAAAUUGAAUAUUAAUUUGUA